AUGUUAUUGACCCAGGUUUUUGCAAGAUCAAGUCAUAUAACCCUCGUACAGGGACUUAUCAAUCCCAUCUCAAAGGCAUCAGCAAACCAGAGGGCAGGAAGAUCUGGACGGACAGGACCAGGAAAAUGUUUCCGUCUGUACACAAGUUAUAACUACAUGCAUGAUCUUGAGGACAAUACUGUUCCAGAGAUACAAAGAACCAACCUUGCAAAUGUUGUUCUUACAAUUAAGAGUCUUGGUAUUCAUGACUUGGUUAAUUUUGAUUUUAUGGACCCACCUCCUUCAGAGGCCUUGUUGAAGGCCCUGGAACAACUUUUUGCUCUUAGUGCACUCAACAGUCGUGGAGAGUUGACCAAGACUGGAAGACGAAUGGCAGAGUUUCCACUAGAUCCUAUGCUGUCAAAGAUGAUAGUAGCUUCAGAGAAAUAUAAGUGUUCUGAUGAGGUCAUGUCCAUUGCGUCAAUGCUGUCGAUCGGCAAUUCUAUAUUCUACCGUCCGAAGGACAAACAGGUUCAUGCAGAUAAUGCAAGGUUGAACUUCCACACUGGGAACGUCUAU
rnacentral:rRNA from 1 species